rnacentral:rRNA from 1 species
CCCAGACUCCUACGGGAGGCAGCAGUGGGGGAUAUUGCACAAUGGGGGGAACCCUGAUGCAGCGACGCCGCGUGGGUGAAGGAGCGUUUCGGCGCGUAAAGCCCUCUCGGCAGGGAAGAAGGAGGACGGUACCUGACUAAGAAGCCCCGGCUAACUACGUGCCAGCAGCCGCGGUAAUACGUAGGGGGCAAGCGUUAUCCGGAUUUACUGGGUGUAAAGGGGGCGCAGACGGCAGCGCAAGCCAGGAGUGAAAGCCCGGGGCCCAACCCCGGGACUGCUCUUGGAACUGCGCGGCUGGAGUGCAGGAGGGGCAGGCGGAAUUCCUGGUGUAGCGGUGAAAUGCGUAGAUAUCAGGAGGAACACCGGUGGCGAAGGCGGCCUGCUGGACUGCGACUGACGUUGAGGCCCGAAAGCGUGGGGAGCAAACAGGAUUGGAUACCCGCGUA